GUGUAUGUAAGGAUGAGUGUAUGAACUAUUAAUCUGAAGUAUAAAGGUCACAAAAUGAAAAUAGAAUACACGCAUAAAGGUUGCACAACACACGGGUGAGAUAGGUAAACAAGGUAAAGAAUAGAUAUCACUGCAAGAGAAAUCAAUAAUCCUUCUAGUUAGGCUAUUUUUUUUGUUUGUUUGUUUGUUCUCACUAUGGGGAGCAGAUUUCCACUGUAAGUGUAUGCUUUAGUUACAUUAGCUUGUGGGUAGUUGGCUGCUUAUGUAGGCACAUUGGUUUGUAUCUUUAAGUGCCAAAGUACUUUGGG